UCUAAUAUGGCAGAGAAGUGCAAUGGAUUUAAGCCCCAUAUAUAAAGGAUACUUUUAUUAGAA
rnacentral:tRNA from 2 species